AGUUCUCAACCACACCUGGUGUGGCUUGGAUUUGGGGGUGCAGGCUUUUGAGUCUGCUCCUCUGAAAAGGAUUAGUGGUAUCUAAGCAGAAACUACUGUCGGGCGUGAUAAUUAUCUAUGCCUCAGUGUGCAUGAACCGCUUCUAACCGAGUGUUGACAAGUUUGACCUCGAAUCAGGUAGGACUACCCGCUGAACUUAA
rnacentral:misc_RNA from 1 species